rnacentral:tRNA from 1 species
UCCCCCGUGGUGUAGCGGUAGCACGGCAGCCUUUGGAGCUGUUCAGGCCUUGGUUCGAAUCCAGGCGGGGGAG